UGUGGGAGCGGGCUUGCCCGCGAUUGGUUCGAUGCGGUGUUCCUGAAACACCGCACCGUUUGAAUCGCGGGCAAGCCCGCUCCCACA
rnacentral:misc_RNA from 1 species